AGCCCCGUAGUGUAGCGGCCAAUCAUCACAGGUUCUGGCCCUGUGGACCACGGUUCGAAUCCGUGCGGGGCUA
rnacentral:tRNA from 1 species